GUGGCUGUGGCUUAGUGGUAAAGCGCUUGUCUCGCACAUGUGAGGCACUGGGUUUGAUACUCAGCACCACA
rnacentral:tRNA from 1 species